UACGGAGGGUGCAAGCGUUGUCCGGAUUUAUUGGGUUUAAAGGGUGCGUAGGCGGCUUUAUAAGUCCGUGGUGAAAGCCAACAGCUCAACUGUUGAACUGCCAUGGAUACUGUAAGGCUUGAGUACAGACGAGGUAGGCGGAAUGGAUGGUGUAGCGGUGAAAUGCAUAGAUACCAUCCAGAACACCGAUUGCGUAGGCAGCUACUAGGCUGUAACUGACGCUGAGGCACGAAAGCGUGGGGAGCGAACAGG
rnacentral:rRNA from 1 species